rnacentral:rRNA from 1 species
UACGGAGGAUCCAAGCGUUAUCCGGAUUUAUUGGGUUUAAAGGGUGCGUAGGCGGCUUAUUAAGUCAGUGGUGAAAGCCUGGAGCUUAACUCCAGAACUGCCAUUGAUACUGAUGAGCUUGAGUAUAGUUGAGGUGGGCGGAAUGUGUCAUGUAGCGGUGAAAUGCUUAGAUAUGACACAGAACACCGAUUGCGAAGGCAGCUCGCUAAACUAUAACUGACGCUGAGGCACGAAAGCGUGGGUAGCAAACAGG